GCUCGUCACGUCAAUCAAUACGGACUGUCAUAGUCUGACUCAUCCACUAUCGGAGUAUAGACAGGUGUCUCAGGGAUAGGUAUCCAUGUAUCAACUCCAUCGGCAGUAGUCUGUCGCUGUAGUGGCUGGGUCCAACCAUAGCCGACCGUCAUCUCUGGAGUCUCCUCAUCGGGGUCCUCCUCAUUACUAUCGGAGCAUGCCGGCCGAGAU
rnacentral:lncRNA from 1 species